CUCGCCAAUUUUAAAGGUUUGGAGGCGAGAUCUGUUCAAACAGAGAACCCUGCUUAAUAUACUGGAUGAUUUGACUGUUAAAAAUUGCCAGCUGUCAUGCAACUAAAAUUGUUCGCGCUAUUUUGAAAACGGUGAUGCCCCAGGUUUUUGUUUAGCAUUUUUAAAUUUCCCUUUUUCUGUCUGUAUCCACUUGAUUAAUUAAAAACUGGAGUAUUGCACGGUUCGAUGAUGAAGUCAUCAUCAUCACAUUUCUCAUCUGCACGUAUUGUGUGCAUACUUACAUUAAUUUUAUCUGCAGGCAGCUUUGAUUUGCUGGAUGAUAAGGGUAUGGAAAGUUAGUACGGUUGGCCAGAAGACGACAAAAGAAGCGUGAAGGAUUGCGGAGAACCGUGAAGUGGAAAGCCACGGCCAAACUGGAGCAGGUAUUUUUCGCGCGUUGUCACUGUGAACGGUUGGUGGAUAUUCAGAUUCUGGCGGGAUGGAAGCAGUUCCUUCGAUGCGCACAGCGCUGCGCUCUUUGUCAGCAUUGGAAAACGCUGAUGUUAUUGAUCCGCCAAAUGGUUCUGGCUCCGUGGCUUCUGUGCGAGCUGAGCACACAGAGAACGGUCGGUCGGUGUAUCGUCUGGGCAACGAAAAAUUUGUGCAUGUCGAUCAUCAGUGGGAAGAAGCGCGAGUUUUUAUUAGUGAAUGGAAGGGAGAACCGGCCGGGCAGUGGAAACAGACGUGGGCGAAAACAAUUAGCCUCAACAAGAGACGAUUCAUGCGCUUGGUAUCGUUAUUGCUGACGGGAAAAUCCGAUCCGGAUUAUCCCAGUGGAAAUUUGCCUCCUUUAUUCUUACUGGACCAAGGAGUGUACUUCCACUGGAGCCGUCUUAACGUGCCCAACCUUUGCCGUUAGCAGCGGUCUCAGGAAGGUGAUUUGUUGCCCACGAGGAACGGAAUUUCAUUGAGCGAAAAGUGUUGUGAAGCGUUGAAGGAACUUAUACAGGAUUCUACUCUCUUCCAACAUGUUGUUAGUGUGGACGAAACCGUUGAGGAUGUGGAUCCUGACAAGAAAGUUCUUUGUCAGGAGAAUUUGUGCGACGCUGUUACUGAUGCUAUGGUGAAACUGGUACAUGAACGAUGCCCUAAUUUCUACGACGUGUUAACGGAUACCGAAUGGAGCGACGCUUUUCACCGGUUUUUGGAUGCUCAUUUUGUGCAUGGUGUUUUGUUUGGUUUCGAAGAACUGAGCAUUACGCAAGCUUUUGGAUUGGAUGUGGCAAAGUAUUUGGAUUCACAUGAAAAUCAAAUCCGCAUGCAGGUAAACUGCUUUCUGAACCGUGUGUAACUUUAGAAUCUUGUAAUGCCUCUUAUGGUUGUCACUACAUAUAACAUGGCUUUAUUUCAGUUCGUUACUAUAACCAAAUGAAGGCUCUGCCUUGUUUAUUUCAUUAAUCGUUCACAUAUCUGACGGAGGAAAG